CACGUAGGGGCGAGCGUUGUCCGGAAUUACUGGGCGUAAAGGGCGCGCAGGCGGUUAUGCGAGUCUGCUGUGAAAUGUACCGGCUCAACCGGUGCCUUGCGGCGGAUACUGCAUAGCUGGAGUACUGGAGAGGGAAGUGGAAUUCCCGGUGUAGCGGUGAAAUGCGUAGAUAUUAGGAGGAACACCGGCGGCGAAGGCGGCUUACUGGACGAAGACUGACGUUGAGGCUCGAAAGCGUGGGAAGCAAACAGGAUUAGAUACCCGGGUAGUCCCUGA
rnacentral:rRNA from 1 species